CCUGUAGGAAUUGACAUGUUUUGACUUUUCAGUUGCAGCAGGAUAUCAGAGACUGGAGUAAAUCACAUGCUGAACUCAGUGAGCAAAUCAAAUCAUUUAAGAAGUCUCAGAAAGAUUUAGAAGUAGCUCUUACUCACAAAGAUGAUAAUAUUAAUGCUUUGACUAAUUGCAUUACACAGUUGAAUCAGUUAGAGUAUGAGUCUGAAUCUGAGAGUCAAAAUAAAGGAGGAAAUGAGUCAGAUGAAUUAGCAAAUGGAGAGGUGGGAGGUGACCGGAAUGAGAAAAUGAAAAAUCGAAUUAAGCAGAUGAUGGGCGUCUCUCAGACACGAACUACAAUAUCAGUAGUUGAAGAGGAUCUAAAACUCUUAAAAUUUAAGCUAAGAGCCUCCAUGUGCACAAAAUGUAACCUGCAAGGUAGGUUGCUUCUUGAAAAGAAACCACCACACAUUGGAAAGAUACAAAAUAUCAAUGGAAAGA